UGUCUUCGUUUGCUUUGUUUUUCUCCAGACUGAGUGGUGCAGAGGAGCAGAGAAGCUUGAAAGCCCUUUGGAAAACAUGAAUCAACCCAGAAAUGUCACUAGGGCAGAAGGUGCAGGAAUUAAAUGUUUGCACCCUGAGCAACUUACAGCCAUGCAUUUAAUUUUCUAAUUCUUUUUCCCUGUUUCUUUUGACCCCUUGGCAAGCAGCAGCAAUGCAGCUCCUUGGUGCUGAUGGUGGGGUUCUGCCCCAACCUGACCCAACUGAGGGGGAGCUGCUGCUGCAUUUCCUUUCCCUGGUUCAGUAAAAUCACCUACUGGGAAGAGAGCAGAGGAUCUACCACCAGCUCAGCCUGGAGGAAUCUCCACAGCCCCACUCUUUGGGCUUCUCUCCACAGACUGCCUAAAAUGGAUAUAAAGGAGCCUCAGAGUGGAAAUUAUUUUCUUCCUAAGACCAUCCUUAAAAUAACAAACACCAGAAAGCUGGUGACAUGCAGUACAUCUGUUUGAAUAACAUGGACCUUCUGUCUAUAAUAGAGGAAACUCCAAAUAACUCUUUGAUUUGUGUUUCCUUUCUUCUCCUUCCUCAUCUCCUCCUCCUCACUACUGUAUACAAAUCUGUUGUGCAAGCUCAAACCCACCAGUAUUCUCUCUCCCCUGAUAAGCUUGUUUUUAUGCCAUGUGAUAGUUAUUUAAUUUCCUCUUUGCUUUUAACACUGCUAAUAUUUAUGUUUCCGUACGGGAUUGCGUCUUUGUUUGUACCCUGAAGUCAGGGGGUGAGGACAGCACUUUAGAUCCAGCAGACCAAAUUCCUGCCCUCUGACUGCAUCUCAUGGAAUAGCAUCUUCGCCUCCAGGCAGUCCUGCAGCAGCCAACGGUCCCAGUUCAGAAAAGCAAUUAGGAUUAAAAUACAUGUUUAAAGUUAGCACAUGUACAAGUCCUUUCCUAAAUAGGGACGUGCUCUAGAGCAGAGCCAGUGGAGUCACUGGUGUGGCAGGCGAGGUUCAAUAUGCAUAAGGAUAUUGAAUAAUCUGGCCCAGUGUUAGAGCCUUAAUUGCUUCCCCAGAAAGAGCAAGGCUACGAAAACAAUGGCUAAUGGCCAUUUCUCCUUAUUUUUUUAAAGACAGCCAUUUAAACAUGAAGUUUAAACACAGGCAAAAUGGAUAUUGUAAGGCACCAUUUCCAGCAAUCCCACUGAAAUCAGGAGGACCCUUAGAAAAGGCAGGAUCUUUCCAGGUGGUGUGUAUUGUCCAUUUUCCUUUGUUCAAAGCUGCUCUCUAAACCGAGUUAGGAACCAUCUUUUCCUCAUUAAAUUUGUUUCCUUUCAGCACUGAUCCUUCAUUACCACAUGCAAUUUUUUAAAGCCCUCAUAGCUAAUAUCACAACUAUAGACCUAGGGUUUAUUUAUAGCCCUAAACUCCGCAGAGAGCUGUGUGUCUUGUUGCUGUGGAAACUGGGAUUCUCAACGUAAAAGGAUUUUAAAGGGAUUUUAGAAGAGAUCUGCUGAAUUCGAGUACUAGCUUCCACUUCCAGAGGUCUGUGAUCAGCUGUGCCUUAAACUUAUGGGUGAAAUACAUCGGACUGUCUCAGCUAGCCCUCAGGGAAUACUGGUCCUCUAUGCUUUUCAUAUGGCAGUUUGCAGCCUGCUUUUUCCUCUCAAUUGUGAGACGAAAGAGGCACAGGUAGCUCUGGGAUGUUAAACUCUUGGUGUCAGCAGUGGCACACUUGCCAGGCUCGGGUCAGUUUUUCUUUCACUUUCAUUGGUUUUGGGGGAGCCUUUUGCCAAGGGAAAUGACACCUUACGCGCUGCUAUGUUUGCAAACCUCUUGCAUGCUGCAGUAAAUCCAGAGUUUUGAGACUGGCAUGGAUCAAUGUUUCCUGGAAAUCAGAUUUCACUGUAAUAGACAGUUAUUUAAAUGA